GAUGAACGCUAGCGGCAGGCUUAACACAUGCAAGUCGAGGGGCAGCACAGGUAGCAAUACUGGGUGGCGACCGGCGCACGGGUGCGUAACGCGUAUGCAACCUACCUUUAACAGGGGAAUAGCCCGGAGAAAUCCGGAUUAAUGUCCCAUAAUAUUCACUGUGGACAUCCACUAUGAAUUAAAGUACCAACGGUUAAAGAUGGGCAUGCGUGGCAUUAGCUAGUUGGUGAGGUAACGGCUCACCAAGGCGACGAUGCCUAGGGGGUUCUGAGAGGAUUAUCCCCCACACUGGUACUGAGACACGGACCAGACUCCUACGGGUGGCUG
rnacentral:rRNA from 1 species